rnacentral:rRNA from 1 species
CAGUAGCCACGGUAAUACGUAGGGGGCAAGCGUUAUCCGGAAUUACUGGGUGUAAAGGGAGCGUAGACGGUUAAACAAGUCUGAAGUGAAAUGCCGGGGCUCAACCCCGGAGCUGCUUUGGGAACUGUAGAACUGGAGUGUCGGAGGGGUAAGCGGAAUUCCCAGUGUAGCGGUGAAAUGCGUAGAUAUUGGGAGGAACAUCGGCGGCGAAGGCGGCUUACUGGACGACAACUGACGUUGAGGCUCGAAGGCGUGGGUAGCAAACUGGAUUAGAUACCCCCGUAGUCCCUGUCUCUUAUAC